AGGAGGGCUUUUGGUUGUGGAGUGAUGGCAGCGCUUUCCUUUACACCAACUGGUGUCCUGGAGAGCCCAAUAAUCAUUUGGGCCAAAAUCAGGACUGUCUAAAAAUGAAUUUCUUAUCUGCAAAGUGCUGGGAUGAUGUUCAAUGCAGUUUUCGUUACCCGUACGUCUGCGCCAAGAAAAUGUGAAGACCGCCAUCACACAGACCCGAUGAAGACGACCAGCGCUGGUGGAGCUCUGCUGCUGCUGGAGUUAAUGCCUUUUAUUUCCUUAAAAAUAAAGUUUUACUUUAGACUGUAGAAUGCAGCUUAUAGAACAAAGUCCCGAAUCAGAUGAAGUUGGAUGGUCUGAUUAUCAGAGAUGGAAAACUGAUGAAAGCUAAACUUUACUUGCAUAUCUGUUCUUCUUUUCUGUUCUUUCCUUUAAUUAAACAUUUGAAGCAUUA